UUUGCGUCGAAGGUAUACCGGUAAGGAGUGCUGGAGCGAAUAGAAGUGAGCAUGCAGGCAUGAGUAGCGAUAAUUAAUGUGAGAAUCAUUAACGCCGUAAACCCAAGGUUUCCUACGCGAUGCUCGUCAUCGUAGGGUUAGUCGGGUCCUAAGUCGAGUCCGAAAGGGGUAGACGAUGGCAAAUUGGUUAAUAUUCCAAUACCAACAUUAGUGUGCGAUGGAAGGACGCUUAGGGCUAAGGGGGCUAGCGGAUGGAAGUGCUAGUCUAAGGUCGUAGGAGGUUAUACAGGCAAAUCCGUAUAACAAUACUCCGAGAACUGAAAGGCUUUUUGAAGUCUUCGGAUGGAUAGAAGAACCCCUGAUGCCGUCGAGCCAAGAAAAGUUUCUAAGUUUAGCUAAUGUUGCCCGUACCGUAAACCGACACAGGUGGGUGGGAUGAGUAUUCUAAGGCGCGUGGAAGAACUCUCUUUAAGGAACUCUGCAAAAUAGCACCGUAUCUUCGGUAUAAGGUGUGGUUAGCUUCGUACUAGGAUUUACUCCGAAAGCGAAGAAACUUACAACAAAGAGUCCCUCCCGACUGUUUACCAAAAACACAGCACUCUGCUAACUCGUAAGAGGAUGUAUAGGGUGUGACGCCUGCCCGGUGCUCGAAGGUUAAUUGAUGGGGUUAGCAUUAGCGAAGCUCUUGAUCGAAGCCCGAGUAAACGGCGGCCGUAACUAUAACGGUCCUAAGGUAGCGAAAUUCCUUGUCGGUUAAAUACCGACCUGCAUGAAUGGCGUAACGAGAUGGGAGCUGUCUCAAAGAGGGAUCCAGUGAAAUUGUAGUGGAGGUGAAAAUUCCUCCUACCCGCGGCAAGACGGAAAGACCCCGUGGACCUUUACUACAGCUUGACACUGCUACUUGGAUAAGAAUGUGCAGGAUAGGUGGGAGGCUUUGAGUAUAUGACGCCAGUUGUAUAUGAGCCAUUGUUGAGAUACCACUCUUUCUUAUUUGGGUAGCUAACCAGCUUGAGUUAUCCUCAAGUGGGACAAUGUCUGGUGGGUAGUUUGACUGGGGCGGUCGCCUCCCAAAUAAUAACGGAGGCUUACAAAGGUUGGCU
rnacentral:rRNA from 1 species